rnacentral:rRNA from 1 species
UACGAAGGGGGCUAGCGUUGCUCGGAAUUACUGGGCGUAAAGCGCACGUAGGCGGUCUUUUAAGUCGGGGGUGAAAUCCUGGAGCUCAACUCCAGAACUGCCUUCGAUACUGGAAGACUUGAGUCCGGGAGAGGUGAGUGGAACUGCGAGUGUAGAGGUGAAAUGUGUUGAUAUUGGAAGGAACGCCAGUGGCGAAAGCGACACACUGGGUCUCAACUGACGCUGAGGCACGAAAGCCAGGGGAGCAAACGGG